UCCAGAGUUCCACAUUUAAAAAAAAAUGCC
rnacentral:piRNA from 1 species